rnacentral:rRNA from 1 species
UACACAUGCAGUCGAACGAUGAUCCGGUGCUUGCANCCGGGGAUUAGUGGCGAACGGGUGAGUAACACGUGAGUAACCUGCCCUUAACUCUGGGAUAAGCCUGGGAAACUGGGUCUAAUACCGGAUAUGACUCCUCAUCGCAUGGUGGGGGGUGGAAAGCUUUAUUGUGGUUUUGGAUGGACUCGCGGCCUAUCAGCUUGUUGGUGAGGUAAUGGCUCACCAAGGCGACGACGGGUAGCCGGCCUGAGAGGGUGACCGGCCACACUGGGACUGAGACACGGCCCAGACUCCUACGGGAGGCAGCAGUGGGGAAUAUUGCACAAUGGGCGCAAGCCUGAUGCAGCGACGCCGCGUGAGGGAUGACGGCCUUCGGGUUGUAAACCUCUUUCAGUAGGGAAGAAGCGAAAGUGACGGUACCUGCAGAAGAAGCGCCGGCUAACUACGUGCCAGCAGCCGCGGUAAUACGUAGGGCGCAAGCGUUAUCCGGAAUUAUUGGGCGUAAAGAGCUCGUAGGCGGUUUGUCGCGUCUGCCGUGAAAGUCCGGGGCUCAACUCCGGAUCUGCGGUGGGUACGGGCAGACUAGAGUGAUGUAGGGGAGACUGGAAUUCCUGGUGUAGCGGUGAAAUGCGCAGAUAUCAGGAGGAACACCGAUGGCGAAGGCAGGUCUCUGGGCAUUAACUGACGCUGAGGAGCGAAAGCAUGGGGAGCGAACAGGA